GAGGGUAGAGCUCAGUGGUAGAGUGCAGGCUUAGCAUGCACGAGGUCCUGGGUUCAAUCCCCAGAACCUCCA
rnacentral:tRNA from 1 species